UGGUUAGGCUAAAGGCUUGAAGGGUUACGGUUUGCCUAACACAGGUCGUGGGGCCCCCCUACGUUUGCUAGACGUAGGAGGAGGUUCACUAGUUUUGUUGUUAUUCACUUGAAAUCCUUGACUGAAAGAGAUUCAGCCUCGGAUGUUUUUGUUAGUUAAGUUAUGUUAUUUGAAGUGAAGAAGAUAAGCAUGCAUGAAGCAAGUUCAUCUCUCACCCCACACCACCACCACUAUCUUUCAUCUCUCACCCCCACCGCCAACACCACCACCCCAUCGCUCACCGUCGUCGCUCCGCCUCAGUGAUUUCCGUUUGAUCUAUUCUGUCAACCGUCAUAUUUUUCACUUCGAACACCAUUUACAGGUUCCAAUGACGGAAAAAUUGCUAAAGCGAUCUUCACUUCAAUGAUCUUCCAGGGAAAAUAUAUAAAAACCACGUAUCGUAAUUUCAACGUGAAAGAACAGAAGGAGCAAGCAGAAGAACAAAAGCGAACAAAUUUGAGUGUGAAGGAUUGUUUGUUCUUGAUUUCUUUUCGUUGUAUCCCGCUAAACUGAUCUGCGAAGGAUUGUGUCUUAUCGCUGCACAUCUGUCGGACCUGUGGUCAUAGUCGGUUCGUUUUUGGUCUAAGGCUUCCACCGUUUCCGGUUUCCGAGUUAGAGUUUCCUGUGUUGCAAUCAACAUCAAUUAGCAGCAAAAAUGGGCAACUUUUCUUCAACUACCAAACGCUUGCUCUAUUCUUUCUUAGGCCUGGAAAUUGGUUGAUCAACACCAAGCAGUAGAAUUGUUGGUGGAAGAACAAAGCAUUGUUAACAGGUGCGGAACUACGAAUUUGUUAUUGCAUAAGCCGGAAUGAUGAAUGCCAGUGCUUUUGGAGCAAAUAUAUUGCCCACUAUCGGAUACAUAUAUGAAAGACAAGCUACACAAGAGCUCAGAAAGAAAGCAAUUUACCUUGGGGUACCCUUUUUGGCCGAGUGGGUUCGGAACAAAGGGCAUUUCUGGAAAUCACAAAUUACUGCAACAAAAGGUAACUAGAAGCAUUUUUUUUAUCAGAAUUCUAUUUCACUUCACAAAUUUUUAUGUACCAUAUCAAACUUUUAGAAAAUCUGAUUCAAGGAACAUUUUAUUUCCUAAAUUAUGAGGGUUUAUUUUUAUAAAACAUUUGAACUUA